UGCAAGGAUGCAUCUUAAAAUCCGCUACUUCUAUUGGUUACUUCUGUAACUCUUGCCGUAUAACCCACCAAUGAAAUUUAACUUUUUGCACUCGGACUCUGUGCAUUCCAUUUUUCAUUAUAUACUUAUGCACACGGCACACUAGAAAGGAGGAGUGCAAUUUUGCACCCGGUACUAGAAAUCUUGAGCAAAUUGACAAUAAAUACCGAAACAUUGUUUUGGUCAAUAUAUGAUUUCAGUUGAAUAACUGCGAAGACUCAACUUUCGAUAAGCUCUUUUUUUCUUGCUGUUUACUUUUGAUCUGAUUCAAAAUGCCUGGUGGACCCUGCGGAGCUAACUGCAACUGCGAAAAGUGCCGUUGCUGCAGCGCAGCUUCUAAGUGCACUGCCAGCUGCAAGUGCGACACUUGCAGAUGCUGCCAAAGAAACCAGCAGUGCAAUUGCGGUGACUGCAAGUGCUGCAGUUCAGCCAAGUGCUAAAAAGCUGCUCUGAAUGAAGCUGAUGUUUCUUUUAACGAAUAUGCGCCUUGGAAGUUUAAAGAAAAAAUUUCCUUUUAUUGUUAUUGAAAAUAAAAGAUGUAACUGAGAGAUUUUAAUGUAUUCAUGGCUUUGGGCUUUAAUUCACCUUAAGUGAAAAUAAAGUUAAUUUUUUUUUUUUAA